rnacentral:rRNA from 1 species
AAUCAACGCUGGCGGCGUGCCUCAGACAUGCAAGUCGAACGCGAAAGUUUCCUUCGGGAGACAAGUAGAGUGGCGCACGGGUGAGUAACACGUAGGUAAUCUACCUUUGGAUGGGGAAUAACAACCGGAAACGGUUGCUAAUACCGCAUAAUGCAGCGGCACCUAAUGGUGACAGUUGUUAAAGCGGGGGAUCGAAAGACCUCGCGUCUAAAGAGGAGCCUGCGGCGGAUUAGCUUGNGGUAAGGUAACGGCUUACCAAGGCUACGAUCUGUAUCCGGUCUAAGAGGACGGUCGGACACACUGACACUGAAUAACGGGUCAGACUCCUACGGGAGGCAGCAGUCGGGAAGUUUUGGGCAAUGGGCGAAAGCCUGACCCACGCAACGCCG